AAAACGACUCUCGGCAACGGAUAUCUCGGCUCUCGCAUCGAUGAAGAACGCAGCGAAAUGCGAUACUUGGUGUGAAUUGCAGGAUCCCGCGAACCAUCGAGUCUUUGAACGCAAGUUGCGCCCGAAGCCUUUCGGCCGAGGGCACGCCUGCCUGGGUGUCACUC
rnacentral:rRNA from 2 species